rnacentral:rRNA from 1 species
UACGUAGGGGGCUAGCGUUGUCCGGAAUCAUUGGGCGUAAAGCGCGUGUAGGCGGUCCGGUAAGUCCGCUGUGAAAGUCCAAGGCUCAACCUUGGGAUGCCGGUCGAUACUGCCGGACUAGAGUUCGGAAGAGGCGAGUGGAAUUCCCGGUGUAGCGGUGAAAUGCGCAGAUAUCGGGAGGAACACCUAUGGCGAAGGCAGCUCGCUGGGACGUUACUGACGCUGAGACGCGAAAGCGUGGGGAGCAAACAGG